rnacentral:tRNA from 2 species
GGCCCUGUUGGCGCGCUGGGGGGCGGCGCGCGCGAUCCCGGUGCGGGCCAUGAGCGUGGAUCAUGGCUUGCGGUACGAUUCUGCAGCCGAGCUU